GGUAAACUUCAGACUAAUAUUGUGUGCUGAACAUAAACAUGUUGAUCUGAUGGAGGAAUUUACUUUCAAUGGCUGCAGUAAUUGAGUGCAGCACACAAGAUUAAUCAGCCAACAAGAGUUCAAACAGCGUCUGAACAUGACGUGGUCACACUUCACUGCACUUACAGCACCAGUGACCAAUACCCUUAUCUUUACUGGUACCAGCAGAAAACCAAUGGAUUCCCAGUUUACAAGCAGUGGGUGGAGCUGAUUCACACUGUUGAGAGUGUGAGAGAGUCAAACAGUUAUCCAAAUACUAUUUUUGCCAUCACUGUCUGUCUGAAGACAUCAUGUUUCUCUUUACCUGGAUAAUAUUGCAACUUUGCAUGGGAAUUUCUUUUGGUGAUACAGUACAACCACUGUUUUCAGAAAAACAUGAUUUUGAGGGUGAAAAUGUGACUCUCUCCUGUAACUACAGUCUCACUAGUGGCAGUAGUGUUACUCUCCACUGGUAUCGUCAGUAUCUCAGAGGAAAACCUGAAUUUUUACUUCAUGUUAAUGAAUAUUCAACCACAUCUGAACCUGAUCUUCGUCUGUUUUCAAAAGCUUCAAAAGAGAUCAAACGUGUGGAUCUGAUCAUCUCCUCUGCUGCAGUAUCAGACUCUGCUCUGUAUUACUGCGCUCUGAAACACAAGAACACUGUAGAAAAACAUUUCCUUAUCUUAAUUAGUGAAAGAAGAAAGAUACACAAAGACUAAGAGAACUGUGAUUAAUAUGCAUUAUGUAGAACAGGUAAAUAAUUUGAUAAAUAUCUAAUGAGGUGCAGAACUGAUAAAAGUGAAUAGAUAAACAAGUAAAAUCAAUGUGACAUUGAAUAGUGUAUUAAGUGUUCUAAUAUUUUUAAUUAUAUCAAAUCCAUACAAAAGUUAUGUUUCAAAGCAUUAUUAUGUGUAACACAUUGGCCCGGUUUCACAG